rnacentral:lncRNA from 1 species
AAAUAUUGUCUUAUUAUUCCCAUAUUAAUGGAGCACUUACUCUUGUUUUGUACAAGUAUCUUACCAUUUUGGUUGGAAAAUAUUAAGUGAAUAGGGGUGUAGGUUGCUUAAAGCACCCCUGCAUAAGAGAUAUAGGUCUUCAAAUUUCAAAAAGAAGUAAUGCAAAAAUAGUAAAUAAAAAAUUAAAAACUACAAAUGAAAAGGAAAGGUGUGACAAAAAGGCAAAGUGUGAAG